GAUGAACGCUGGCGGCGUGCCUAACACAUGCAAGUCGAACGGAGUUCUUAAGGAAUGCGACUUCGGUCAAAUGACUUUUGAACUUAGCGGCGGACGGGUGAGUAACACGUGGGUAACCUGCCUCAUAGUGGGGAAUAGCCUUUCGAAAGGAAGAUUAAUACCGCAUAAGAUUGUAGCUUCGCAUGAAGUAGCAAUUAAAGGAUUUAUUCGCUAUGAGAUGGACCCGCGGCGCAUUAGCUAGUUGGUGAGGUAACGGCCCGACCAAGGCGAUGAUGCGUAGCCGACCUGAGAGGGUGAUCGGCCACAUUGGGACUGAGACACGGCCCAGACUCCCUACGGGAGGCAGCAGUGGGAAUAUUGCACAAAUGGGGGAAACCCUGAUGCAGCAACGCCGCGUGAGUGAUGA
rnacentral:rRNA from 1 species